rnacentral:rRNA from 1 species
GACGAACGCUGGCGGCGUGCCUAACACAUGCAAGUCGAGCGGAGUCGAUCGACGGAAGCCUUCGGGCGGAAGAUGGUUGACUUAGCGGCGGGAUGGGUGAGUAACGCGUGGGCAACCUGCCUCGAAGACCGGGAUAACAGCCCGAAAGGGCUGCUAAUACCGGAUGUGGUCAAGGAUCCGCAUGGAUUUUUGAUUAAAGGGGAAACCCGUUUCGAGGUGGGCCCGCGUCCUAUCAGCUAGUUGGUGAGGUAAAAGCUCACCAAGGCGACGACGGGUAGCCGGCCUGAGAGGGUGACCGGCCACACUGGAACUGAGACACGGUCCAGACUCCUACGGGGGGCAGCAGUGGGGAAUCUUCCACAAUGGGCGAAAGCCUGAUGGAGCGACGCCGCGUGAGCGAAGAAGGCCUUCGGGUUGUAAAGCUCUGUCUGGAGGGACGAAGGAAGUGACGGUACCUCCGGAGGAAGCCACGGCGUAACUACGUG